GGAUGGAUGGCCGAGUGGUUUAAGGCGCACGCCUGGAAAGCGUGUGUGCGUGAAAGCGUACCGUGAGUUCGAAUCUCACUCCAUCCG
rnacentral:tRNA from 2 species